UACGAAGGGUGCAAGCGUUACUCGGAAUUACUGGGCGUAAAGCGUGCGUAGGCGGUUCGUUAAGUCUGUCGUGAAAGCCCUGGGCUCAACCUGGGAAUUGCGAUGGAUACUGGCGAGCUAGAGUACGGUAGAGGAUGGUGGAAUUCCCGGUGUAGCGGUGAAAUGCGUAGAGAUCGGGAGGAACACCCGUGGCGAAGGCGGCCAUCUGGACCAGUACUGACGCUGAGGCACGAAAGCGUGGGGAGCAAACAGGAUUAGAAACCCUUGUAGUCC
rnacentral:rRNA from 1 species